rnacentral:rRNA from 1 species
AAUCAACGCUGGCUGCGUGCCUAACACAUGCAAGUCGAACGAGAAAGUGGAGCAAUCCAUGAGUAAAGUGGCGACCGGGCGAGUAACACGUGACUAACCUGCCCUCGAGUGGGGGAUAACCUCGGGAAACCGGGGCUAAUACCGACUAACAUCGCCAGGGGAAGACCCUUGCGAUCAAAGGAGCAAUUCGCUCACGGGGGGUGUGUCUGCUGAUUAGCGAGUUGGUGAGGUAACGGCUCACCAACGCGAAGAUCAGUAGUCGGACUGAGAGGGCGAACGGCCACACUGGAACUGAAACACGGCCCAGACUCCUACGGGAGGCAGCAGUGGGGAAUUUUGCGCAAUGGGGGAAACCCUGACGCAGCAACGCCGCGUGGAGGAUGAAGUCCCUUGGGAUGUAAACUCCUUUCGAUCGGGACGAUAAUGACGGUACCGGAAGAAGAAGCACCGGCUAACUCUGUGCCAGCCGCCGCCGUAACAC